rnacentral:rRNA from 1 species
GAUGAACGCUGGCGGCGUGCUUAACACAUGCAAGUCGAACGAUGAAGCCCAGCUUGCUGGGUGGAUUAGUGGCGAACGGGUGAGUAACACGUGAGUAACCUGCCCUUAACUCUGGGAUAAGCCUGGGAAACUGGGCCUAAUACCGGAUAGGAGCGUCCACCGCAUGGUGGGUGUUGGAAAGAUUUAUCGGUUUUGGAUGGACUCGCGGCCUAUCAGCUUGUUGGUGAGGUAAUGGCUCACCAAGGCGACGACGGGUAGCCGGCCUGAGAGGGUGACCGGCCACACUGGGACUGAGACACGGCCCAGACUCCUACGGGAGGCAGCAGUGGGGAAUAUUGCACAAUGGGCGCAAGCCUGAUGCAGCGACGCCGCGUGAGGGAUGACGGCCUUCGGGUUGUAAACCUCUUUCAGCAGGGAAGAAGCGAAAGUGACGGUACCUGCAGAAGAAGCACCGGCUAACUACGUG